ensembl:lncRNA
CCCUCUCUGCAGGAUGGCCUGCUGGACACGGGGGCUCGCAGCACGCUGGCCUGAGCUGCGGGCAUGCCCAGGAUGGUGGGGGGCCAAGGGACCAGGCCCGGCCUCUGCCGUCAGCGAGGUGGCCUGGUGCCUCAGCUGAGCCCUCCUCCGGGAGCUCCUCCCACAGCUGCAGGAGUGGCCCCAGCUCUGCCGCCCGUGAAGUUGCUGACCUGGGCCAGGCCCGCCUGUGGGGCCCAGAGCUAUUUUUAAGGCCCACCGGAUGGGCCUUCCAGGAACCAGGAAAAAACAGGCAGGGCUUGACAUCCUGCCCUGUGGGGAUGUGGCUGGAAGAGGGCUAUGGAUCAGACCCACAGUGAAGAGUACACGCAGGACACACACACCACAGCACGUCUACAACACACACGAGUCUGGAAGAGACGAAGGCUCUGAGUAAACCUCCAUCUCAGGAAACAGGCUGCCUCCUGCUCUCUCCUCCACUCCCAGACCAGCCCAGGACAAGCUACGGGUCCAGGAACCUGCAGCAGCCUGACCCCAGAAGGAAGACCCUGUGGACUACCCACUGGUCCCCAAGAAAAACCCACAAGAUGGGAGUCUCUGGACUCCACUGCAGAGGUGGGCACCCUGCCUUGGAUUUGACCCUGUGAGUAGCUCUUACCGGCCUGAGGUCUGUGGUGCACUGGCCAGCCCUGGCCCUGGCCUCAUGUCCACACAGCAGGAGGGCGGUGGACAGGGCUCCAGGAAGGUAAAAACCCAUGAGCUGCACCAGCGCAAGUUCUACUCUCUGCCCUGGGGCAGUGACGGUGGCAAUGAAGUGGUGUGACUUGGGGCUGGCUGGGCAAGCUGAGGGAGCCAGCAGGCUGGCAAGGGCCUCUGAAGCACAUGCUUGGAGGGCACGCCUGAAGGCAACCUCUGGGGGGCCCAGGGAUGGGGCUGCAAUGAUGUGACCCCAGCCUGGCCCCCAGGGGCCACACCAAGUACCUGCAAUGCCAGAAGGACCAGCACCUUGACCUCUUGGCUCCCCCAAUCCUCAAUCCUCUCUGGAUGGCUGUGGGAAGCAGUGGGCGUCCUGGGCUCAGCCAGGGGGCUGGCAGACGGCUGCUCACGCCAGAGCUGCUCAGGCCGGUGGUGACCUUGGGCUGAGGUCGGCAACCCGUGGGGCCGGAUGGGUCUGUGCUGUACAGAAGGCGGAGAACGGGCUCAGGUCCAGACCACGGCCGUGAAGACCUGGGCUAAUGCCAGCCCUGACACAGGCGGUCAAGGUGGCCUCCCUGGUAAGGUGGACAGCAGCUGGGUCUGGUGGGUAGCCAGGUGGGUGGAGCGCAGGGGAGGGCCCUACAGGCACGGGGACAGCAGGGCAAAGGUCCCCGGGGGCAGGCACGGUCAGGAAGGCCCUUGGGCUGCAGGUGUGCGGUCAGGCCGAGUGGGGACUGUGGCCCGGGGUGGGCAGGACAGUGCCUCACCCCAGGCGGGGGUUUCGAGUCCGGGGGCGCUGCCUGCCCAGGGGGCACGAGCACAGCCCGGGGUACCGGAAGCUGACUCCCGACUCCCGCGGCUCCUCGCAGCCCAGCCGCUACAUUCCCCGCGAGGCCACCGGCGCCUGGCCGGCCUCGCGGGUGACCUUCCCAGCGCGGCCUGGGG